UUAAAGACUUCAGUGUGGCUUGAAAUUUCCUCAGAACCACAGCCGGUCCCGCUCCCCUCCUCCUGUUUCCACAGAUACUCACUGCUCUCUUGCUGCGUCCUUUUGCAGGUCCCACAGAGACCCAUCUACUUGCUGAUGCAGCCUAGAAGACUUCCUGUUAUGUUUGAAUUUGGAUGCUUAUCAAGAUGCAAGAACAGCAACAACCUCUUGGGGCCUAGCCACUUCCACACCAUGACGGAGGACAGAAAGACUACUGUCGGAAGCUUCCAUUUUGUUUACAUCGUAAUCUUAAUAGUUGGAACCACAGUCCAGGUCUCUGAUGAAAGUGAGUUUGCAGUAAACAAGUCAAACCAAGGCCUCACUCAUGUUCCGAAAGGCCUGCCACCCAAAACCAAAGUCUUAGAUAUGUCUCAAAACUUUAUAGCUGAGCUCCGCCUCUCCGACAUCAGCUUCCUCUCACAGCUGAAAGUUCUCAGGCUUUCCCGCAAUAGACUUCAGUGCCUUGAUAUUAGCAUUUUCAAGUUCAACCAGGAUUUGGAAUAUCUGGAUUUAUCGCACAAUCAGUUGCGGAAGAUAUCCUGCCAUCCUAUCACCAAUCUGAAGCAUUUAGACCUCUCAUUCAAUGCCUUUGAUGUCCUGCCCAUCUGUAAGGAAUUUGGUAACUUGACUCAACUGAAUUUCUUGGGAUUAAGUGCUAAAAAGUUACAACCAUUGGACCUGCUACCAAUUGCUCACUUGCAUCUAAGUGGCAUCCUCCUGGAUUUGGAAGGUUAUUACGUGAAAGAACAUGAGACAGAAAGUCUUCAAAUUCUGAAUACAAAAACACUUCACCUAGUUUUUCACCCAAAUGAUAUCUUCUCUGUCCAAGCAAAAAUAUCAGUUAACAGUCUGAGAUGCCUACAACUGAGUAAUAUUAAGCUGAAUGAUAUGAACUGUCAAGUUUUUACUACAUUUUUAUCACAACCAACUCGAGGUCCAAAUUUACUGAAUUUUACACUGAACCAUGUGGAAACAACUUGGCAAUGUUUGGUCAGAGUUUUUCAAUUCCUUUGGCCCAGACCUAUAGAAUAUCUCAACAUUUACAAUCUAACAAUUGUUGAAAGCAUUGAUGAAGAAGAAUUUACUUAUCCUGAAACAUCUUUGAAAGCAUUGACAAUUGAACAUGUUACAAACAGAGUUUUUCUUUUUUCGCAGACAGCAUUAUACACAGUGUUUUCUGAGAUGAACAUUAUGAUGUUAACCAUAUCAGAUACACAUUUUAUACAUAUGCUUUGUCCUCAAACCACAAGCACAUUUAAGGUCUUGAACUUUACCCGGAAUGUUUUCACAGAUAGUAUUUUUCAGAAGUGCUCCACUUUAGUUCGAUUGGAGACAUUGAUCUUACAAAAGAAUGAAUUAAAAGACCUUUUCAAAGUGGGUCUCAUGACUGAGAAAAUGCCAUCUUUGGAAAUACUGGACUUGAGCUGGAAUUAUUUGGAAUAUGAUAGACAUGACCAAAAUUGCACUUGGGUUGGGAGUAUAGUGGUGUUAAAUUUGUCCUCAAAUGUACUUACUGACUCUGUGUUCAGUUGUUUACCUUCCAGGGUCAGGGUUCUUGAUCUUCACAAUAACAAAAUAACAAGAAUCCCUGAAGAUGUCACCAGUCUAGAGGCUUUGCAAGAACUCAAUGUUGCUUUCAACUCCUUAGCCCACCUGCCUGGAUGUGGUAGCUUUGGCAGCCUCUCUGUACUGAUCAUUGACUAUAACUCAAUUUCCAACCCAUCGGCUCAUUUUUUUGAGAGCUGCCAGAAGAUUAGGUCCAUAAACGUGGGGCACAAUCCAUUCCAAUGUACGUGUGAGCUCCAAGAAUUUAUCCAAAGUAUAGGCCAAGUAUCAAGUGGGGUGGUAGAGGGUUGGCCUGAGUCUUAUCAGUGUGACUACCCAGGAAGCUACAAGGGGACCCUACUGAAGGAUUUUCAUGUGUCUCCGUUAACCUGCAACACAGCUCUGCUGAUUGUCACCAUUGGGGUCACUGGACUGGUGUUGGCUGUCACUCUGACUGCCCUCUGUAUCUAUCUGGAUCUGCCCUGGUAUCUCAGGAUGGUGUGUCAGUGGACUCGGACCCGGCGCAGGGCUAGGAACAUACCUUUAGACAAACUGCAAAGGACUCUGCAGUUCCACGCUUUUAUUUCCUACAGUGAACACGACUCUGCCUGGGUGAAGAAUGAACUGGUACCUUGCCUAGAAAAAGAAGAUAUACGGCUUUGUCUCCAUGAGAGGAACUUUGUUCCUGGCAAGAGCAUUGUGGAAAAUAUCAUAAACUGCAUUGAGAAAAGUUACAAGUCCAUCUUUGUUUUGUCUCCCAACUUUGUCCAGAGCGAGUGGUGCCAUUAUGAACUCUACUUUGCCCACCACAAUCUCUUCCAUGAAGGAUCUGACAACUUGAUCCUGAUCUUGCUGGAACCCAUUCCACAGAACAACAUUCCUAGCAAGUAUCACAAGCUGAAAUCUCUCAUGACACAGCGCACUUAUUUGGAAUGGCCAAAGGAGAAGAGCAAACGUGGACUUUUUUGGGCUAACAUUAGAGCUGCUUUUAACAUGAAGUUAAUACUAAACACUGAAAACAAUGAUGUGGGCAUGUAAAAAAGAAAAAGCCAGGAAAUCCAACUUAAGAAACUCCCAUAUACAUGGAUUCCAAUGAACAUCAUGGUGUUAAGCUAUUGCCUAAACGGUGCCCACAUUCUCUGUACGUGCUCAAGAAAGACAGAGCGAAAGCCAUGCUUCAUUGAGCCCAGAAGCAGACUGGGGCCGAGGUGCUGCCCAAACUUGCCUGUUCCAGAUAGCUCAGUUUGUUCUGGUUGAACCAUUCUGUUUCAGAUUGAAACAGUCUUGUGUGGGUUAAAGACUCAGUCAUUCAAAGAUCCAUCCUGUCCUCCCCUUCCCCAAAUGGGUCUGUGUGAGCAGGAGUUGAUGGGGCUUCGUGGUGGCAAGGAAAGAGUCAACCUCACACCUGUACGCAGUGCUCCUUCGAGAGCCCUGUGCAUCCUUGCUGGCCUCUGGGUGCCUGUGAAAGAGCCAACAUUUGGACUCCGUCAUCAUAAGAGGCAGAGGCCCGGGGCCUGGCUGCCCUGUCCAGCAGUUAGCUUCAGAGAGAUUUGCUCCUCUCUGUCCACUGCACGCUUCCCUUGCGGCAGCCUGGGGACAUCCAGAACGUAGAGAAGACCGAGGAGAUGGAGGAAGGGUAAAGACGCUGACCACAUUCCUCCCCCACUUCCCAGCAAGGAAGGCCUGAGCCAGGGCCAGGCAGACUUUUGAACUGGGUGUGAGAUGGGUGUUAAAUUGGACUGGCUUGGACAUUUUAAUGCAUGAAGUACAGGUGCAUUUGCUAAAAUGAGACUUGUCACUAAAAUCAGUGGAGUCUGCCCCAAAUUCAGAAUAGAUUCUGAAAGAGAGUCCACAAAACUUGGUUGUAAGGCAGCAAUUAAAAGGAAAAGGGAAGCCCUUUCCUUAUGGACUUACUCAAUAGACCAGUUUCACAAUUAAUCAUUGUCAAGUAAUGAACCUUGGUGAAAUUUUAUCCAAGCGGUCUUCAUCCUUGCCCUCCAGGAGAGCACUGAGUUUCCCCGCACAGACCCUCUCCCAAACAGGGAACUUUCCUCAGCCUCUAGCAGACUGUUUCAUAAACUAAAAAAAAAAACACCAAAAACAAAAACACUAAAAAACACCCCAAACAACAGCGAAGUAUGUUACACAUUCUAAAUGAUCAAAUAUUUUAUUUAUUUUUAAAACACAUUUAUUUAUCAGUACCCUGUAACCUUGCAACUCGGGGAUUAGUUAACCAUACCCAGUGUGGCCCAGCCUCUCGGGGGGAGUCCUUGCAGAGAUGUUCUUUUUGAUGGACCAUAAAUCCAGCUGUAGGCCAUAAUGGCUGCUGUCUUUGUCGCCCAGGAGCACUCUGUAGAAAGACUGCUCUCCAAGCUUGCAUUGCUUUCAAGAGCCUCUGUAAAUUCUUUGCAAUAAGUUAGAAGGCCUUCUUAAUAACAAAGGUUCCACAGUCCCUGAUCUAGCUUCAUAGGAUAGGUCUCCCAGUAUCAAUUUGAGAAGAGAACAUAUUUAGCAAAAGGAAUACAUCUUAAGUUAAGUAAUGCCAAGUGAAGAGCUUUAGGCCAAGGCAGAUUAAAAGAUUUAACAAGUUUUACCAAUUGAAUUUUCCCUAUGUUGUCGGUUUGUUCUAUAAAACCAGAGGACUGGGGAUGAUAAGCACAAUGACGAUACUACGGUAUCAGCCAAGUGUUGCAUGGCUGGUGUAGAAUUUGUCUAGUGAAAUGGGUUCCCCUUUCCUCAAGGGACUCUGGGGGUUUUCUGAGCAGCGAAACUCCUUUCUAGAAGUAAUUUAGUAACUCCUGUAGCUGUUACCCUUGGACAUGGAAAUCCUUCUCCCCUAUAUGAAUAUACAUGGAUCAUCAUUAUACACUUUUAUCCUUGAAGGAGGGCAACUGAAUUGAAAUGCACUUUCCGAACAUCAGGUAGGCCUCAUUUGUCUUAUUUCCCCCUUUUGUAAAGAGACAUUCCCUUUGUAAUUUCCUACUAAAGCAUACCAACACUAUAGAAAAGAAGAAACUUUUGUCCCUUUAGCAGUGACAGAAAACUCAAUUUCCAAAUCUGUAUCAGCAUACUUGAAGUUAAAUGAAUCCAUUCCAGUCUUCCUUUGACCAUGCAUGAGACUUCUUUUCAAAAUUCCAUUUCUGCAAAACUUCUACAACAUACACAAAGUUUCUGCCACUUUGAUAAACCAUCCAUCUUUUGUCCUCUUUCCUUGUUGCAUUUACUUUAGAACAAAAUUACUUUCUUUUCUUUCAAUAAAAAUACAUUUCCAUUCCUCAUACCUUCUUUUACCAAACACACACCUUACUCUACACGUGCAGUCAUUUCCGAUCACCAUAAAAUCCUAAUCAGGCAUUGUCGCAGGUGUCUGGAUCUUUAACCGAGGCAUCUUGCCUGCCUCUGUUAUAAAAUGACGCAUUAAGGUUUCUGCCUUGUUACCCUGGUUUCCCACCUGCUCUGAAAGCUCCAAAGCUAGAGAGCAGCAGACAACUGCAUUUCUUUAAUUAAACCAACACCCUUAAGGUGGUUUUUCUUUGCAAAAGGCUAAUCCUACAUCAUGUGCGCUUGAAAAGUAAUUGCAUUAGUUUUUUUCCUCCAAUUUGUAUGAGUGCUCCUUUGCUUUAAGCCAAUUAAACAGGGCCCUUUUACAGUCCCCAUUAGACUUCACAAAUCAAAGUUUUUCUCAGGACCAUCUAACAGUAUCAUAUCUAUAACAGACAUACGUAGACAUGCAUAGACACACAGCACAAUAACACAAAACCCAAAAGAAAAACUAUGGAUCCCAAAGCAAAAUGAUGGGCCCCAAAGAUCUUAAAAGGGGAAAAUUUUCCUGGGGGGAAGACUGAAAAAUGCCUGCAG